rnacentral:misc_RNA from 1 species
GGAUUUGAUUUUAUAGAACAAGGCAUUCCCUUUCAGUUAAGAACAUCUAGCCACCUUUCUUUACAUUAACAUUAUUCUGAUAAAGAAAAAAGAUAGAAAGAAUCAUAAUUAAAGAGAACAAAAUUUGCAAUUUCACAGCAACUGAACUUACACCUCAAUGGGCAACCAGGAAAUUUAUAAAAUCAAAUCCCUAAUUCACAAGGAUGGUGUGCUGCUUUGGUAUACCGCUCGCUAGAGUUCCAAGUUACCAGAGUAGCCAGCAAGAAGAAGCCUUGAAAUUUUAAACUUUUAGUAAUAGCCGCCAUUCAAAUUACCUCUUCCCAUUAUCAGGGAUCUCCGGCACCUUAUAUGUAUCAACAGUAACCUCUGUCAACCACAAUCCAGGAAAGAGCAUAUCCAACUGCUUCUGCACGUUCCUGGGUCGCUUCUUGGGUCUCCGAGCUGGUCUGUGGCCUAUCAUCUCCUUAAAAUCCUCAUCGAUCUCCUUCCUCGAGAGCGCCAACGCAAACUUCGUUCUCAUCUGCGCUGUCUCCUUUUCCUUCUCAUCCUCUCUUUCCUUUUUCUCUCCUCUCAGCCUUGGAGAUUUCCCGCUCUCACUCCUCAACGGCGAAAAAUUACUUACAUUCCUCUCCUCAAUUUUCAAGCCCUUCCCUGUAACUAAAUUCCCGGCAAUCGGAGCUUUACAGGCUGCUCUCCUUGUUCGCAGAUUCCACGGUCUAACCUCUUGCUCUGUCUCCGCUACAACCGCCGCCGGUGGAACAGGAGAGGCAGAUUGUUCCUUCUCAUCCUCAUCCUCAUCCUCCAUCUUCUCAUGCGGCGGAACCCCCCGCACUUCGUCGCCUUCAUCUGACACUCCUUUCUUCAAAAUUGCAUCUUUCAUCUUAUCUGCCGCCGUUUUGAAAUCGAACAUCAGCUUCUCUCUCACUUCAGCGAUCCCUCCCGCGUCACCGCCGCCGUCGUUUCUCUGUUUUAGUUUCUUGAAUGAGCGGAUUUCGUAAUCCGUAGUGGCGACAAAUUUAGACGGUGGAGAUCGGCCACUGCGAAGGCGAUCGGUGGAAAUUCCAUUGCUGAUGUUCUUAUCCUUGGAAGCACCGGAAUCUGAGACUUUCAUGCAACGGAGGUGUCUCUGAAUCCCCCACUUCAAGCAAGGCAGAUUAAAAUUGUGAAGCGGUGGCUUCGAUCUCUCUGUUCCCAUAGCCAUAACCAACCCACUCACUCUCUCUCCCGUUUCUCCAGAACACACCAUUGAAAUCUCACAACACACGCGUACUCUCCAAUGAGAGCUCAGAUCACAAGCUCACUCCCUCUAUAUAAUCUGCCGCGGCUGUUUGUUUCUCACGAUUUUAAACUUUCUUGGGAAAAUAUUAUUCAGAAGUUUUGUUUGUGAUUUUGAGUGUUUGUGUUGUUUUGG